GAGGAUGUGGCUCAAGCGGUAGUGCGCUCGCCUGGCAUGCGUGCGACCUGGGUUCGAUUCUCAGCACCACA
rnacentral:tRNA from 1 species